rnacentral:misc_RNA from 1 species
GAAAUGCGAUAAGUAGUGUGAAUUGCAAAAUUCAGUGAAUCAUCGAAUCUUUGAACGCACAUUGCGCCCCUUGGUAUUCCAUGGGGCAUGCCUGUUCGAGCGUCAUUUGUACCCUCAAGCUUUGCUUGGUGUUGGGCGUCUUGUCGGAAUAUCCGACUCGCCUUAAAUACAUUGGCAGCCGGCACUUUGGCCUAGGAGCGCAGCACAUUUUGCGAUCGUAAGCCGUUGUGACAGCAUCCAUAAGAUUUAUUUUACCACGUUUGACCUCGGAUCAGGUAGGGAUACCCGCUGAACUUAAGC